GCCUGGCUGGCUCGGUCGGUAGAGCGUGCGACUCUUAUUCUUGGGGUCUUGAGUUCAAGCCCCAUGUUGGGCA
rnacentral:tRNA from 1 species